rnacentral:pre_miRNA from 1 species
UUUUUCGGUUAUCAUGGUACCGGUGCUGUAUACGUGAAAGGUACAGUACUGUGAUAACUGAAGAAUGGUG